GUUUUAAUAUUUUCUAAUAACAUGUGUUAUCUGUUUUAAAGGUUUGGAUAUCUGCUGCAAAGCGAACGUUGUGUGUACUAUUGCAAAAUAGCGGAUCUCCCCGGUUAGGAUACAGACCACAACGCUUUGGACGUAUCUUUAAAAAAGAGAAAAAUCAGAGACUUUUUGGAUUUGUCUGGGGACAUUUUAAACAUUUUGUGUCAAAUUGGAUUUAAAACAUUUCGGAUACUGGAUACCUAGUUUGAUUUGUCCACAGAGCUUGUUUAAGACGUUUUCACCUCAUUUUAGGGUUUAUUUUUAAUUAAAGGCUUCUUAAAACAUGUAUGAAAAUGUGUAUAUUAUACAAUGAGUCUUAUAUUGUCUGCUCUGACAAAAAUAAAUUAUUAUUUUAGAUCUUA